GCCGGGAUGGUCUAGUGAUUAUGACGUCUGCCUUACACGCAGAAGAUCGCGAGUUCAAUCGUCGCUCCUGGUA
rfam:Perkinsus marinus ATCC 50983 gcontig_1104296256306, whole genome shotgun sequence.